UCCCAGACUCCUACGGGAGGCAGCAGUGAGGAAUAUUGGUCAAUGGUCGGGAGACUGAACCAGCCAAGCCGCGUGAGGGAGGAAGGUACAGAGUAUCGUAAACCUCUUUUGUCAGGGAACAAAGGCGGGGACGUGUCCCCGGAUGAGUGUACCUGAAGAAAAAGCAUCGGCUAACUACGUGCCAGCAGCCGCGGUAAUACGUAGGGUGCGAGCGUUAAUCGGAAUUACUGGGCGUAAAGGGUGUGCAGGCGGUUUUGCAAGAUGGAUGUGAAAGCCCCGGGCUUAACCUGGGAAAGCCAUACAUGACUGCAAGACUAGAGUGCGUCAGAGGGGGGUGGAAUUCCAAGUGUAGCAGUGAAAUGCGUAGAUAUUUGGAAGAACACCGAUGGCGAAGGCAGCCCCCUGGGACGCAACUGACGCUCAUACACGAAAGCGUGGGGAGCAAACAGGAUUAGAUACCCGAGUAU
rnacentral:rRNA from 1 species